ensembl:snRNA U6 U6 spliceosomal RNA
GUGCUUGCUUAAGCAGCACAUGCUAAAAUUGGAACAAUACAGAGAAGGUUAGCAUGGCCCCUCCACAAGGAUGACACGCAAAUUCAUGAAGCGUUCCAUAUUUUU